AGAAUCAACGCUGGCGGCGUGCCUAACACAUGCAAGUCGCACGAGAAAGGGGAGCAAUCCCUGAGUACAGUGGCGCACGGGUGAGUAACACGUGAAUAAUCUACCUCCGAGUGGGGAAUAACUGAGAGAAAUCUUAGCUAAUACCGCAUAAUACCCACGGGUCAAAGCAGUAAUGCGCUUGGAGAGGAGUUCGCGGCAGAUUAGUUAGUUGGCGGGGUAAUGGCCCACCAAGACGAUGAUCUGUAUCCGGCCUGAGAGGGCGCACGGACACACUGGAACUGAAACACGGUCCAGACUCCUACGGAGGCAGCAGUGGGGAAUUUUGCGCAAUGGGGAAACCCUGACGCAGCAACGCCGCGUGGAGGAUGAAGCCCCUUGGGUGUAAACUCCUUUCGAUCGGGAAGAUAAUGACGGUACCGAUAUAAGAGCCCGGCUAACUUCGCGCCAGCAGCCGC
rnacentral:rRNA from 1 species